rnacentral:rRNA from 1 species
CGGACGGGUGAGUAAUGUAUGGGGAUCUGCCUGAUGGAGGGGGAUAACUACUGGAAACGGUAGCUAAUACCGCAUAAUGUCUACGGACCAAAGCGGGGGACCUCCGGGCCUCGCGCCAUCAGAUGAACCCAUAUGGGAUUAGCUAGUAGGUAAGGUAACGGCUUACCUAGGCGACGAUCCCUAGCUGGUCUGAGAGGAUGAUCAGCCACACUGGGACUGAGACACGGCCCAG